rnacentral:tmRNA from 1 species
GGGGCUGAUUCUGGAUUCGACGGGAUUUGCGAAACCCAAGGUGCAUGCCGAGGGGCGGUUGGCCUCGUAAAAAGCCGCAAAAAAUAGUCGCAAACGACGAAAACUACGCUUUAGCAGCUUAAUAACCUGCUUAGAGCCCUCUCUCCCUAGCCUCCGCUCUUAGGACGGGGAUCAAGAGAGGUCAAACCCAAAAGAGAUCGCGUGGAAGCCCUGCCUGGGGUUGAAGCGUUAAAACUUAAUCAGGCUAGUUUGUUAGUGGCGUGUCCGUCCGCAG